GACGAACGCUGGCGGCGUGCCUAAUACAUGCAAGUAGAACGCUGAAGGAGGAGCUUGCUUCUCUGGAUGAGUUGCGAACGGGUGAGUAACGCGUAGGUAACCUGCCUGGUAGCGGGGGAUAACUAUUGGAAACGAUAGCUAAUACCGCAUAAGAGUAGAUGUUGCAUGACAUUUGCUUAAAAGGUGCAAUUGCAUCACUACCAGAUGGACCUGCGUUGUAUUAGCUAGUUGGUGGGGUAACGGCUCACCAAGGCGACGAUACAUAGCCGACCUGAGAGGGUGAUCGGCCACACUGGGACGGAGACACGGCCCAGACUCCUACGGGAGGCAGCAGUAGGGAAUCUUCGGCAAUGGACGGAAGUCUGACCGAGCAACGCCGCGUGAGUGAAGAAGGUUGUCGGAUCGUAAAGCUCUGUUGUAAGAGAAGAACGAGUGUGAGAGUGGAAAGUUCACACUGUGACGGUAUCUUACCAGAAAGGGACGGCUAACUACGUG
rnacentral:rRNA from 1 species